UUCUCUGUAAUAUAAUUUCUCUAGGAUUUCACAGAUCCUCUCAUGGACGCCUUUAGAUUUCAAAGUUGAUUUCCCCAUGGUUCUAAGUUAAGAAACUAUUUCACCCCUUUCAUUUGAAGUGGAUUUUUGCAGCUGUAGGGUUCACAUAUAUCCUCAUUUUGUGAUUUGAUUACAAAAUUGAUUUCGCGGCUGGUUUUCAGAGUGAUCUUCACGGCUGUAGUUUGUUGAAGGAGAACAAGGGGCAACAUUGAAGACAAAAAAGGGCAUAACUGAGGAAGAAUCUGAAGAAGAAGUUGAAGAAGCCCAUGAUGAAGAUUAUGAUGUAAUAGCUCAGCCCCUAGACCAACACAUGAAGAAUACUAUUUCAUGUCCACACAUGGACUAUAACAACAACAGUAUGAACCAUUUGGACCUGCUAGAGAGCCUGAAAGUGAUCCAGAUAUAAGGCCUCAAGUCAUAUCUGAAAAUUGCACAAAAUUGAAAAUGAGGAUUAAUCAACAUAGAGCAACUGGAAAGAGAAUUAUAUCUUUUAAAGGUGAUCAUGCUGGAAUUAGUGAGCCUACAGAUUUGCCUUACUCACCUAGUAAUCUAACUUGGAAAGGAAAAGAAGCUGUCACCGGCAAUCAGCUAGAAAGAGAGAGACAGAAGAAGGUGGACAAGUUGAAGACAAGAAAAACUAAGGGGAAAUAUCAGAUUUGAAGUGUUCUGAUAGUGUAAAAAGUUCCCUACUUUUGUUUAUUUUUGCUUGAAGUUGGUUAAUGCAAAACAAUGCACUUUUUUUUUA